rfam:Cricetulus griseus cell line CHO-K1, whole genome shotgun sequence.
CAAAAGGCCCUUUUCAGGGCCACCCACAAACUCAGCAAGGAGUUGU